GACGAACGCUGGCGGCGUGCUUAACACAUGCAAGUCGAACGGAAAGGCCCUGCUUUUGUGGGGUGCUCGAGUGGCGAACGGGUGAGUAACACGUGAGUAACCUGCCCUUGACUUUGGGAUAACUUCAGGAAACUGGGGCUAAUACCGGAUAGGAGCUCCUGCUGCAUGGUGGGGGUUGGAAAGUUUCGGCGGUUGGGGAUGGACUCGCGGCUUAUCAGCUUGUUGGUGGGGUAGUGGCUUACCAAGGCAUUGACGGGUAGCCGGCCUGUGAGGGUGACCGGGCACAUUGGGACUGAGAUACGGAGCAGACGCCUACGGGAGGCAGCAGUGGGGAGUAUUGCACAGUGGGCGGAAGCCUGAUGCAGCAACGCCGCGUGCGGGAUGACGGCCUUCGGGUUGUGAACCGCUUUCGGCUGUGACGAAGCGUGAGUGACGGUAAUGGGUGAAGAAGCACCGGCUAACUACGUG
rnacentral:rRNA from 1 species